ACCACGUGGGUGGGACAUCGCUCAACGGAUAAAAGUUACUCUAGGGAUAACAGGCUGAUCGCUCCCAAGCGCCCAUAGCGACGGAGCGGUUUGGCACCUCGAUGUCGGCUCAUCGCAUCCUGGGACUGAAGAAGGCCCCAAGGGUUUGGCUGUUCGCCAAUCAAAGCGGUACGCGAGCUGGGUUCAGAACGUCGUGAGACAGUUUGGCCUCUAUCCUCCGUAAUCAUUUAGAAACGUGAAGGACGCUGCUCCUAGUACGAGAGGACCGGAGUGGACGGACCUCUGGUGACCCUGUUGUCGUGUCAACGGCAAAGCAGGAUAGCUAUGUUCGGACGGGAUAACCGCUGAAGGCAUCUAAGCGGGAAGCCCCCCCUAAGAUUGCGUUUCUCCAUAAAUCCGCCGCAAGAAUAGCGGCUAGAUCGGCCACAGGUGUAAGUGCUGUAAAGCAUUCAGCCGAGUGGUACGAAUGGAUAAUUGAACGUUCUUA
rnacentral:rRNA from 1 species